rnacentral:rRNA from 1 species
AACGAACGCUGGCGGCGUGCCUAACACAUGCAAGUCGAACGAGAAUUUUCCCUUCGGGGAAAUAGUAAAGUGGCGCAAGGGUGAGUAACACGUGAAUAAUCUGCCUACGAAUUCGGGAUAACGCGGCGAAAGCUGUGCUAAUACCGGAUAAGACCACAUCUCGUAAGGAGUGUGGCCAAAGGAACCUCAAGUUCCGUUUGUAGAUGAGUUCGCGAACCAUUAGCUUGUUGGUGGGAUAAUAGCCUACCAAGGCGACGAUGGUUAGCCGGCCUGAGAGGGUGAUCGGCCACACUGGAACUGAGACACGGUCCAGACUCCUACGGGAGGCAGCAGUAGGGAAUAUUGCACAAUGGAGGAAACUCUGAUGCAGCAACGCCGCGUGCGUGAAG